UGGCUCAGUGGUAGAGUGCUUGCCUAGCAUGCAUGAAGCCCUGGGUUCGAUUCCUGG
rnacentral:tRNA from 1 species